UGGGGAAUAUUGGACAAUGGGCGCAAGCCUGAUCCAGCCAUGCCGCGUGAGUGAUGAAGGCCCUAGGGUUGUAAAGCUCUUUCACCGGUGAAGAUAAUGACGGUAACCGGAGAAGAAGCCCCGGCUAACUUCGUGCCAGCAGCCGCGGUAAUACGAAGGGGGCUAGCGUUGUUCGGAUUUACUGGGCGUAAAGCGCACGUAGGCGGACUUUUAAGUCAGGGGUGAAAUCCCGGGGCUCAACCCCGGAACUGCCUUUGAUACUGGAAGUCUGGAGUAUGGUAGAGGUGAGUGGAAUUCCGGGUGUAGAGGUGAAAUUCGUAGAUAUUCGGAGGAACACCAGUGGCGAAGGCGGCUCACUGGACCAUUACUGACGCUGAGGUGCGAAAGCGUGGGGAGCAAACAGG
rnacentral:rRNA from 1 species